rnacentral:rRNA from 1 species
UACGUAGGUGGCAAGCGUUAUCCGGAAUUACUGGGCGUAAAGCGCGCGUAGGCGGCUGCCUAAGUCGGAUGUGAAAGCCCCGGGCUCAACCUGGGAACUGCAUUCGAUACUGGGCGGCUAGAGUAUGAGAGAGGGAGGUAGAAUUCCACGUGUAGCGGUGAAAUGCGUAGAUAUGUGGAGGAAUACCGGUGGCGAAGGCGGCCUCCUGGUUCAAUACUGACGCUGAGGUGCGAAAGCGUGGGGAGCAAACAGG